UAGACUGGGGCUGGGGGCAGUAGUUGAAGAGCCGCCUGCAGGUUGGACGUGCAGCCACAGCUAAUGGAAGCGGGUGUAAGAAAGGAACCGCCACAGACAUGCACAAAAAAGGGAAGGAGGCAGUCCAGCCGCACGUCUCUGUCCUCGUUGCCUUAAACGACCUCUGCUGCGGGUUUCUCAUUACAGUAUGCGGCUCCCCCUCUCCCCUGGCAGCCAGCCAUUUGUGUGCAGCAGCCUGGCCAGGGUUCAUGACUGGGAUCCCAACCAAUCUCUUGACAGUUUAAGAGGAGGGCGGAGCUGAGCUGCCUCCGGCAUUUUACUGAUGCUCGUGGGGGCCAAUCCUUUCCACCGCAGCCUGAUGGGGGCCGGCUCCUGCCUGCAGAGUGGGAGCAGCAGGGAUCAUGCGAGGACUGAGCUAUGCACGAUUUAAAUCCCCCCUUACCAGCAGCAAAGAGGAGGAGCUGUGCCCUUGAGAGGGCGGGGCUACAGGCGGCGGUCCUCGCUCCUAUUGGCCGGAAUGCGGUGUCUGCCAGACACUGGGGGGACUUUGAGUUGCAGAUUAUUGCAGACUAAGCAGUGUGUCUGUGCUGCAGCACGAGCGGAGGGCCCGGGAAAGCGGCCAGGGGAGGCAUUCCACAUUAGCUCAUUAAUUCAGCUGCUACAUCACAGGCAAAGCCCUGCCUCGGCUGGAGGAGAGGCGCUCUCACACUUUCUUUCGGGGGCUGCGCUUGUCAGCACAAGUACCGAGCGCUACUCUCCCACAAGAGAGACUCCUGCACACAAAAAUGCCCCUCCUUAAAGGCAGCUCUUUGCUAACUAUGUAGAAGUGAGGAGAGAGGAAAGAAGCAGCGAGCAGGGGCGGCUGCCUAUUGUUCUCCUUGUGCAAAUGGCCAAAAUGCAGUCCCAAGGCUGCUCGGCGAUGACUUCAUAGGUUCAAGCACAUGGUUUGGGGUCUUAACAUUUGGAAAGGACCCCAGAGCUCAUAAAGUUAACAGGAAACAGGCAUCACCGGUCUAACCUGAAAGGCUAACUGGCCAUAUUAUACAAGCAGCAGCACUUGGGACCCACAUGGAGCCAUACUGACAGAUUGGAGGUCCCCUGAGGGACACCUUCAACUGUCUAGAAAGGUCAUCCACAAGGAGAACAGUGAGGCCGAUGCAUUCCUGACUCCGGAAAAUGGAUGUGGAUGUCAUUUCACUUAAAUUACCUCUUGCUUUUUUUUUCGCUUUUUUUUUUUUUUAAAAUCAUACUUCUUCCAUGUGUAGUGUGUUUGGUUUAUAGUUGUCGAUAAGGUCAUAAUGUCCUAUAUUGGGGAUUGUUCUUGUGUGUAUCAUAAAGUGUAAAAAUCUACGGGACUCUGAGCCUUGCUUAAGAGAAUUUACAACCGGUCAAAAUGUACCAUAAUUCAUUUUUUACAGCCUAGGUAUAGAAAAUAAUCCUCACUGUGAAUCCAUGUUUACACACAGUACAGGUGGGCCUUGUGGCCUGUUUCUACCACAGCAAUGUCUUCCUCUAGUCAAACAACUCAAAAAUCUAUCUGGCUCUCCAUAACUACAGCUACAAUUUCUUCUUCAAAAUGACAGUAACCUUGCAGAGGCUGAGAGUCCCCCUCUUAUUAUGUAUUCUGUUCACUUAGAUGUAGUAUACCUGUUAGAUUAAUUUCAUCCAUUGUCUGUAUAUCUCUAUAUUUUAAUUCAUGUAAACUUUUGUAUAGAAAUAGUUGUUUGAAACACAUUGUUUCCUUGUGGUAAGUGACAGAGAAGCUGCCACAGGGUAUGAAACACUGAUGAAUGGUGCUAUUUUGGACUUUUAAACAUGCUCCUUGGCAAGGUAGCUCUGAUGGGAGUUAGUUUUAUUUUAGUUUUUUUUUUCUUGUUCUAAGAAGGUGUUGGUAUUUUUCCUGAUUGUUGUUCUGUAGGCGGGACUGACUUCGGUUUCAGUGUGGCUUUUUUUAAAUUCAGUCUUUUUUAGGGUAAAUAACUGCUAACAGAGUAAGUGAGAGAAGCUCUCUCUUAAUUUCUCUCUCUCUCUUUCUUUUGUUUCUGUACUGGGUAGACUCACCAACAAGCAACUGUUGUAGCGGGAGCAAUCACAAAACUAAAAAAUUUACGUAAUAUUAAAUAUAUUUCCAAUUCCUUCAUUAGAGAGAAGUAGCAAUAACUCGUAGAAAUGUCUAUCCUGUUUUGUGUUGGUUUAUUUUUUUUAGAAGGGACGUUUAAAGCACAGGGUCAGGUUUCUGAAUGUCCUGUGGCCCACGUCAGGAUUUAUUUUUGUUUGUUUUAUGGAGUGAGGAAGCUAAUAAUUUCGCUAUUUUUUAUUUUUAGUCCUGAAAAUAUGAAAAUUUUCUCAUUAGGUAUAAAAAUAUUUGACACUUUUGUUCUUGCUCUCAGUGACAAAACUAUUAAGUAAACUACUCAGAAUGCUGUUGUGUUUGACACAAUCUGGAAGCCCAUCUUAUUUUUUUAUGAUUACUUUUUAAUAGAAUCUUGUCUUUAGAUCUUCCUUUGCAGUGCAGACAGGGCUGUUGUAGCUUUGACUGUUAAAUGCGACUGCAUGCUUUGCCUAUGUAGCUUUUAUUUUUCCUUUCCAAGUGUUAUACUGUAUGAUUAGAACUUAUGAGCUGUGCUGUAUAUAAUAGAGCAGUUAAUCAGUAUUAAGCAGUUGUGUCAUUUAUGUAUGGUUGCAUUUGUGUAUUGAUAAAAAGGCAAGCUUUUGUAACAAUGUGAGCUUUAAUGAAGCACUAUAAGUACCCAUUGUAUUUUAACUAUUUUAGAAUUUGUUCAUUAAAUAUGCAAGCUCUAUUCAUUUUAAAAA